rnacentral:lncRNA from 1 species
AGCCUACGCUUCAAGGGAACGUUUUAGGUUAUAUGUACGAAUUUGAUUGUAAACCAGACGAAGGGCAGUCGUCUGAUGGCAAUUGGUUUUCAGUGGCUUAUGAACAUCAGGUCGGAUAUAUUGCAAAAACGACCAGCUACAGGUACAGACAUGUAUGGGAAGUGUUCCUGAUGAAGACAAACUUUCUCCAAUAACAAAUACGUCAACUAUUGCACCGACAACCCCUGUUCCAGCAACAACGACUAAACCUACUACAAUUACAACUAUACCUGCCUCUACCACCACGAUUGAAAGCAUAACAAGUACAAAACAAACGACUACUGUAACAACAGAAAACAUACCUACAAGUGCACCACCAACAACAGUGGAACUAUCUAUCACUCCGUUUACUGAGGUUACAACAACAUUGCAACCAACCACGGUUUCAUCUACCAUUUCACCAACACAAAAUCCCAAAACGUCAAAUACAUGGCAGUUAACGACGAUAAAGACCAUCACUCUGACACAAUCACAUACAAUAACAAAACCUAGCAGCCAAAAGCCAAUAACAAACACAAUUCAAGGUCAUUUAGAAUUAUGUUCAAGUCGAAUCCAACACGCAGCAAAGGAAGACCAUGCAAUUCUUGCACAGUUCGGAGAUAACUGUUAUGAAGUUGAUAAAAGCACAGUGUCAUGGUCUCAUGCAGAGUCAAUUUGCCAACAAAAUGGAGGACAUCUAGUUCAUAUUGCUAAUCAAAAGGAGCAGAACUUUAUUUACAACUUUUUGGUCAGACAUCAUAGCCAUACCGUUUGGAUUGGACUCCAUGAUAGAAACUAUGAAGAAAACUUUGAAUGGACAUCAGGUGACUCUGUAACGUACACAAACUGGCAACCUGGACGAAAAAAAACACAACCAUGAUGUGCAGGAUUGUGUAUUCAUGUCACCAUCCACAGGUCUCUGGAACGAUAGAGCUUGCGGGGGAGAUACUCCGAAAGAGGAAAGUCACCAGGACCAUCGUCAUGCAUACAUAUGCCAGUCUGCGACGGUUACUGCGACGACAGGAAAUUUAAAUCUCUGUUCGAGUCACCUGCACCAACAAGCUUCGAGAGAUGCAGGGACAUUAGCUCAGUAUGACCAAAGUUGUUAUGAAAUCGUUCCCGAUACAAACAAGACUUGGGGUCAAGCAGAAAGUUUCUGUCAGAACAGGGGAGGACAUUUAGCACAUAUAAGUAAUGCAAAGCAGCAGUCUUUCAUCCAGGGAUUUGUGCAAAGGUACUCCCCACAACACGCGGUUGAUUUGGGCUGACUGAUCAUCACAGUGAAGGGCAUUUUCAUUGGACUUCAGGGAAUACAGCCCACUACACAAACUGGGUACCUAACCACAUGAGCAAUUUUGAACACCACAGUAAAGAGGACUGUGUUGUUUUCAUACCUUACAAGCAUGGCAAAUGGGAUGAUUUACCGUGUGGAAGUACCGUCUCUACACACCACCAUGUCCAAGCUGUUGGAGAGGUCCAUCCAAUCCUGUGCCAAUACAGUACAACUGCAGGACCUCCUUUUAUCGGCUAGAUAUCGCGUGCCUGGCUACUUGGUUAUGACAUUGACCUGAAGCAAUAAAAAUACAGUACAGAUAA